rnacentral:rRNA from 1 species
UACAGAGGUCUCAAGCGUUGUUCGGAAUUAUUGGGCGUAAAGGGCGCGUAGGCGGUGCGGUAAGUCUGUAGUGAAAUCUCUGGGCUCAACUCAGAGUCUGCUGCAGAAACUGCCGUGCUUGAGUGUGGGGAGAGGUGAGUGGAAUUCCCGGUGUAGCGGUGAAAUGCGUAGAUAUCGGGGAGGAACACCUGUGGCGAAAAGCGGCUCACUGGACCACAACUGACGCUGAGGCGCGAAAGCUAGGGGGAGCAAACAGG